rnacentral:misc_RNA from 1 species
GAUGAAGAACGUAGCGAAAUGCGAUAAGUAAUGUGAAUUGUAGAAUUCAGUGAAUCAUCGAAUCUUUGAACGCACAUUGCGCCCGCCAGUAUUCUGGCGGGCAUGCCUGUUCGAGCGUCAUUUCAACCAUCAAGCCCCCGGCUUGUGUUGGGGACCUGCGGCUGCCGCAGGCCCUGAAAACCAGUGGCGGGCUCGCUAGUCACUCCGAGCGUAGUAAUACAUCUCGCUCAGGGCGUGCUGCGGGUUCCGGCCGUUAAAAAGCCUUAUUUACCCAAGGUUGACCUCGGAUCAGGUAGGAAGACCCGCUGAACUUAAGCAUAUCAAUAAGCGGAGGA